UUCCUAUGUUUUCCUACGCAAGAGGUUCCUUAAGUUUCCAUCAUACACGAUGAGGAAAUUUUAUAUUGCUAAGGAGAAUUAUAAAGGUACAUUGUGUUGUAGUUAGUUUUCUGAUUGGUGUCAAUUACUAGAAUAUUCAUGCUCAUAUAUGUAUGCUGGAUGCUUUUCGACAGGCGGAUAUGUUCCUGAGCUGGCUGAACUCAUUCAUUACGGGAACAAAGAUCCCUCUUUAUUGAUAGAUCUUAAAGGCAUUAUGGUGUAAUUCGGUUCCCAUUUAAUUCAAGGACUGAGUUUCAAGAUUAGUGCCAGGACCCUAAGAUUUUAAAUGGAGCAAAUGAUCACAGACGGACGUUCAAUGCUAACUGAUAAUUUUAUUGCAGCUGGCCAAUUGCAAAACAUGUGACAUAGAGGUACUUGACACUUAUCAGGGACAGACUGUGCUUCUUGAUGAGAGGUGGUAUGUUUGAUUGGAUUUAUGGUGACAAUUCAUUGGCUAAUGAUGCAUAAUAUUAUAACUGGUGCUUUCUUUGUUCUUGGUCUUAUUUUCACAUUCAUUACACGUUCAUUUUGUAGAUGAUAAAUUGAUUGCUAUCUUCUUUAGGCAAUGUUUAAAUAAUUAAUAUAUGCUUAUGUCUAUACAGAUUCUUGGUUGACUCAUUUUUGUUUUGAUCAAACAACCAUGACUCGAGUAGUGUCAUAAAUUUGACUCUUAAUUUACUGGAAAUGUAGAUUAUAAAAAUGUCGAUAUUCGUGCACUAAAAAGCAAAAAUGCUUAAAUGAAUUCUAUCCCUAACAAAGUGAAUGAGGCAAUCUUUUAGGAUUUCUUACUUUCCACUUUUCCAUAAGGAGGUGCCUUUGUUGGAAAUUACAUGACCAGUGAGAGUAACUGGAUAAUGAUGUACUGUAAAAUUGUUUUUAGUGAUUCUAAUGAUGUCAUAUGGCACCCACAAAAUUUUGAAGAUAUAGAUGCUAAUAGUUUAAAUGUCAUAGGAAGAAGGAUCCACCAUAAGUAGAAGUAUUGCUUUAAAACACUGGUGUCAAAUUGAAUAAAAGUUGGUUUAUUGUUUUGAACUUCAUUUGUAUUUAUUGUAUCUUUACAAUACUUCUAGCAAAAUUGUAGGAUGGCGACCUUUUGUUAUUAUUUUUUGUGUUUGUUGCUGAUUUUAGGGUAUUUGCUGAAGCGGAGCAUGGAAAACUAACUUUUCCAGAGAGAAGCACAACCAUUCUAGAGAAGAGUUGCCAGUACUUUUACUACUUUCUUCAGUAGGUUAGAUAAUUACUUUUCCCUCAGUUUCUUUUUUUAAAAUUCUUUUGUUUAAUGAGUAUAUUAAAAUUCUUUAAUUAAGCUAAACUCUAGGCCAUUUGUUGAAAUUUUCAGAAUUUAUAUUUUGAUCCUUUAUUCUUUAUCCUGGACAUUGCCUGGUGGAUCCUUUUCUUCUAAUUGUUUUUUUUUUCCCACUACUUUUGUCUAAUUUUAUUGUAUUUAUCGCAUACAUUUGUAAUUAUAAUUGUUUGAGAAAUAUAAAUAAAAGAUCAAUAUGGCAAAUGAAGUAUAUUGAUGAUAGUUUGAUUUUAGCUAUAUUUACUUGCAUCUAACGAAAUAUAUUUACGAAAUUUUUAAUUUCAUAAUGCUGUUUUAGUAAUUGGACAUUUGUACAUGGAGAUAUAAAUAAUACCUUAAGUAUUGUUGUAUCAUAAUAGUGGUAUACAUGUGGUCUACGAAUUCAAUUUUUACGAGAUAUCGGAUCUAAAAUGUGAUGAUAUUUUUAAUUUAUUUCGUGAAUUAUAACUAUAGAUUUCGGAUUUUUUUGUUGGCUGUAGGGAUGGAGGGAGUUGUAUAUAAGUAAGCACAACGAGAUAGUUGCAAAGGCAUAUUUGGUAAUGAAUAAUGUAGAAAACGCUUUAGCUUAUCAGUCAGUUAAAGUAGGGAAUUAUUUGAAACUGGUUGAAUUCAUGAAGUUGAGGCAAUUUGGAUUCAAAGAUGUACAAGUGUUCUUUGUCAAACCAAAGCUCAAUUUGGUUGGCUUGCACUGCUAAAUCAUAUAGCUUCACCUGCUGGUUAUUUGGUUGGGCUUUUCCUUUAAUGAAGUAUUCACAAAUUGCAUAACUGGGAUGAUGUCUUGAGCUUUUGGCAGUCUUUUUGACAGUGAGUUUUAUGCAUGCAGAUGGUGUACUAUGGUGUGCGUAGAUGGUUCCGUGCUGCAAAUCUUUAACUGCAUAAAGCAGCAUAGCUUGCAAGGAUUCAAUGACUUCCGACGAAAACCUACAGCAACAGCUUGGAAGAGCGUAGGCUAUUAUGCAGCAUACGCAGCUACACAUAAGCUUCGGUUACCUGGAAAAGGGUCGAGGGUCCAAUAGCUUCUGCUAGAAUUUGGCCUAUAUACAAGGUACUAAGGUUUGCCGAUCUCCCUUUCUGUCUGCAUGCAUCAAUCUUCAGGAGUAAAAUGCUUGACUAGGCCAUUAUUUAAGUGGAUUUUGUAGUGUCAGGACUUACAUUAGGACUGCAGUUAACUUCGUGCUUACAUCGGUUUUCAUUAAAAUAUGCAUUUUCACUUACUCAUUGCAGGCAAAUGUUGUUGCAUGAUAUGCAGUAACAUUGAUUACAUAUCUUGUGUUUGAUAGUAAGAUUUUUUUUAACAAAAUUUGCUCAAAUUGGCAUGUACACUCUGCUUGAUAUUGCUGGCUUUUUUUAUUUUGGAGUUAAUUUGAAGGUAUGGAGUAUGAUGACUAAAAUUGUUAGCCCUUACUUGAAUCCAGUUCUUUAAUAUUCAUUUUUCUCAAACUUAUUUUAAGAAUAAUUUUGUAUGUACAAUCAAAAUACUUUCCUAUAUUUUCUUUUCAUUUUUACUUUACUUAUUUUUAAAUCUGUUCAUUUUCUUUUAAACCUACCUCUUUUUACACCAAAAAUUGAUUACAAAAUGCUAGAAAUUCUCCCUCCUUUACCUGGGGAUUUUUAAAAAAUCGUGGACUGCCAUUCGGUAUAGAAACAAUUUUACUCAAUCUGCUUCCUGUCAUUUGAAUCAGAACAAAUCACAAUCUAUGUUUAUCAAUCAGUGAAUAAUGGUAGAAGUUUAUUUUAUACUUCUUGAGUCUCACAAACUUGUGCUUUUGCUUUAAUUUUAGGUUUCUUGUGGUAUAUAUUUGUGAAAGUUUCAGUUUAGUAUAGGCGUGACCAUUAUGCGGUGGCUGAGUCUGUCAAUUGAUGUUUUUCGUUUUGUUAUCUCCUUUAAUUUGUACUGCAAGGGUAUUCUAUAACUUAUCCUUUCAUGUGUUGAAUUCAACCUAAUUGUUUUUUCCAUUAUCUUCUUUAUCUCUGGCUAUCGAUGGGAUCCAAUCACCUUUCUUUCAA
rnacentral:lncRNA from 1 species